rnacentral:rRNA from 1 species
UGGGGAAUUUUGGACAAUGGGCGAAAGCCUGAUCCAGCAAUGCCGCGUGUGUGAAGAAGGCCUUCGGGUUGUAAAGCACUUUUGUCCGGAAAGAAAUCCUUGGCUCUAAUACAGUCGGGGGAUGACGGUACCGGAAGAAUAAGCACCGGCUAACUACGUGCCAGCAGCCGCGGUAAUACGUAGGGUGCAAGCGUUAAUCGGAAUUACUGGGCGUAAAGCGUGCGCAGGCGGUUUGCUAAGACCGAUGUGAAAUCCCCGGGCUCAACCUGGGGAACUGCAUUGGUGACCUGGCAGGCUAGAGUAUGGCAGAGGGGGGUAGAAUUCCACGUGUAGCAGUGAAAUGCGUAGAGAUGGUGGAGGAAUACCGAUGGCGAAGGCAGCCCCCUGGGGCCAAUACUGACGCUCAUGCACGAAAGCGUGGGGGAGCAAAACAGGAUUAGAUACCCUGGUAGUCCACGCCCUAAACGAUGUCAACUAGUUGUUGGGGAUUCAUUUCCUUAGUAACGUAGCUAACGCGUGAAGUUGACCGCCUGGGGAGUACGGUCGCAAGAUUAAAACUUAAAUGAAUUGACGGGGUCAUAGCUGUUUCCU